GGGUAUAUAGCUCAGUGGUAGAGUAUAUGCUUAACAUACGCAGGAUCCUAGGUUCAAUCCCCAGUACCUCCA
rnacentral:tRNA from 1 species